rnacentral:pre_miRNA from 1 species
GUUUCAGGCAGUCUCCUUGGCUAUCUUGACAUGCUUUUUUCUUCCAUGUUAUACCUUCUUUCUUUGUAUUUUUCGAAUCCAAAUAAUAUUUUUUUCUAUAAAUUUACUACGAAAAUCCUUUAAACAAUCUCUAACAAAGUAUGUUAUUAGAAAACUACCACUUUUUGCAUUUAUUACAAAUGCAUGUACGUGGUGAGUGUAUGCAUUCUUUAGAAGGAAAUGUCAAAGGUGAAUAGAAGAAUCAUAUUUGGUAGCCAAGGAUGACUUGCCUAUUUCU